GACGAACGCUGGCGGCGUGCUUAACACAUGCAAGUCGAACGGAAAGGCCCUGCUUUUGUGGGGUGCUCGAGUGGCGAACGGGUGAGUAACACGUGAGUAACCUGCCCUUGACUUUGGGAUAACUUCAGGAAACUGGGGCUAAUACCGGAUAGGAUCUCCUGCUGCAUGGUGUGGGUUGGAGAGUUUCGGCUGUUGGGGAUGGUCUCGCUGCUUAUGAGCUUGUUGGUGGGGUAGUGGCUUACAAAGGCUUUGACGGGUAGCCGGCCUGAGAGGGUGACCGGCCACAUGGGGACUGAGAGACGGCCCAGAAGGCUACGGGAGGCAGCAGUGGGAAAUAUUGCACAAUGGGCGGAAGCGUGAUGCAGAAACGCCGCGUGCGGGAUGACGGCCUUCGGGGUGUAAACCGCUUUCGCCUGUGACGAAGCGUGAGUGACGGUAAUGGGUAAAGAAGCACCGGCUAACUACGUG
rnacentral:rRNA from 1 species